AUCCUUGUUAAUGUUUCCAAAGAGGACAAGAUUUGCUGUUCCCUGUGCUUACAGAGGAGCACAGGCUGGGGGCACCUGUCGUCUUCCCCAUGGACAUGGUGGGCCCCUUGACAUUCCCUGAGCUGUGCCUUGGUAAAAGCAAUGGAAAGAAAUCCUAAAAAGAUGGGGCAGCCCCUAGCAGUGCCUGGAGAGCUUACUUCAGUUGAGUUAUGGCUUUCCCCAAUUGUAUACCAGAGAGCAGUGGGCCCUGUGGCAACAUCAGACAGAAAGCGGUGCUGUAGGGAACCUUGCAUCCCAAGGCACUGCUCCUUUACUCUUCAGUACUAGGGGCAGACAUAGAAGACCUAGGAAAUGAGAAGAACUGGGUACAUGAUAUGAAAGUCAUAGAGAAUCAAUGCAGAAUUAUGUUAAAAAAGUAAUAGAAUCCAAAGUAAAAGGCUUGGCAUGUGCUUGGUGGGUGUGGUGGAGGGAGUGGGAACGAAGAGGUCUAAGUUUCAGUAUCCUAAAACUGGUGCUCCCUUGAUUUGAGGAAGCUCACAUCGCACACUCUAAGGCUGACUUAGUGCCUGGUCACUGGAGGCAGAAACAGUCAGACUUCCCACCUACCUGAACUGAUGCUGUGGUCUUCAUCUGACUGACUCUUAAGCCACUUUAAGUCUGCAAAUUUGG
rnacentral:lncRNA from 1 species